rnacentral:ncRNA from 2 species
GACUACCAUGCCGCCGCCGGUUCCCAAACGGGAUUAAUAGGGAAUCCGUGAUGCUGCCAACGCAUCAAACGGAACUGCCCCCGCAACUGUAGGUGCCGAGCCUGCUCCUGAACUGCCACUGGGAUCGAUUCCCGGGAAGGCUGGAGCACGCCAUGACGCAUCAGUCAGGAGACCUGCCGGCCAAGCAACAAAUCA